rnacentral:misc_RNA from 1 species
ACCAAAACUUGAUAUUUAAAAACUUUAGAAAAGAGACAAACAGACAAACAAAUAAAACAUGCAUACAAGCAGCAUAUUAAGUAUCGUAUCUAUCUGAUCCUUCAAUCAAUGGUGAUACAUGAGCUAUGCAUCUAUCCCUUAAGUUUGUGCACAUCAACACUUUAUCACUGUGAUAUUUUAACUAAAUUUUUGUUUAACAACUUAAAUUUUCCCAAUCCUGAAAAGGCUGUAAAGUUCAUGGUGUCAGCUGAAUCAUUUUUCAACUCAUAUUAUUUAUGAACAGAAAAGUAAAAUUUUUUCAUGCAGAUUGCCGCUGCUGCAAUAACAAUGCAUUAGCGUGAGAUAAGAGAGUAUUCAUCCCCAACUCAAAGAAAAGAGGGGUAAAAGAAGCUUAUGAUAAAAGACCAUAAAGAACACCAUUGCCAGCUAUAAUACCAUCCAUCCGUAAAUAAAUUAGUUGGCAUGAGCCCCAAAAUGCCAUAAAUGGCUUUCCCAAAAUUUAUUAAGCAAAUGCAGAUAUCAAGUUAUACCACUAAAUACUAAUAAUUCCCUGAAAAGAAGGCAAAACUUGUACUCUACAAUUUUAAUAUAGAAAAACCCCAAGGAUAUCUUCCUACAGCUCUUCCAUAAACCAACUCAUCAUUUUGGGCCCUCAUGAGCCUCCUAAUAAAGCUUUGGAUUUGAAAGUAAAUGCUG